rnacentral:rRNA from 1 species
ACGUGAAACCGUUCAGGGGUAAACCUGAGGAACCCGAAAGGUCGAAAAGAGAGAUUCAACGCGUCUCGCGUUUCGUCUUAUAGAAUUAGAGCGACGAACGACGUUCGCGUCGUUCGCGUCUUUUUUUAUCAAGUUCGUUCGCGAACGCGUGCACUUCUCUCUUAGUAGGACGUCGCGAUCCGUUGGGUGUCGUUCUAAGGCCCGCUGGUAAGUUCGUUGGCUUGCGUUCUAACGCUCGUUAGCGAGGCCGCGGUGUUUCCCGAUCGACGCGCUCGACGGUAUACGAAUGGCGCAAAGCCGCGAAUUUAGUUCGCGUUCGGCUCGUCGCAAGCUUGUUCGCAGCGCCGGAAUUAGGACCUAGCGCCUGUUCCGACCUCGAACGGUUGCUGGCUUCGAUGUUUUCGAACAGACUUUGUCGUAACGCCAAUCUGCGACGCUAUAGCUUUGGGUACUUUCAGGACCCGUCUUGAAACACGGACCAAGGAGUCUAGCAUGUGCGCGAGUCAUUGGGAUAUAAUUAAACCUAAAGGCGAAAUGAAAGUAAAGAAUCGUCUUGAGCGAUUCAAGGGAAGAUGGGUUAAUCAAUUAGGAUUGCCUCGCAUUCCCGGGGCGUCUUAUUCUCAUUGCGAGACGAGGCGCACCAAAAGCGUACACGCUGGGACCCGAAAGAUGGUGAACUAUGCCUGGUCAGGACGAAGUCAGGGGAAACCCUGAUGGAGGUCCGUAGCGAUUCUGACGUGCAAAUCGAUCGUCGGAAC